UACGUAGGGGGCAAGCGUUGUCCGGAAUCAUUGGGCGUAAAGCGCGUGUAGGCGGCUCGAUAAGUCUGCUGUGAAAGUCCAGGGCUCAACCCUGGAAUGCCGGUGGAAACUGUCGGGCUAGAGUCCGGAAGAGGCGAGUGGAAUUCCUGGUGUAGCGGUGGAAUGCGUAGAGAUCCGGAAGAACACCGGUGGCGAAGGCGGUCUGCUGGGGUAAAGCUGACACUGAGGCGCGACAGCGUGGGGAGCAAACAGG
rnacentral:rRNA from 1 species